UACGGAGGGUGCAAACGUUGCUCGGAAUUAUUGGGCGUAAAGCGCACGUAGGCGGCCGACUAAGUCGGGUGUGAAAGCCCAGGGCUCAACCCUGGAAGUGCACUCGAAACUGGUCGGCUUGAAUAUGGAAGAGGGUCGCGGAAUUCCCGGUGUAGAGGUGAAAUUCGUAGAUAUCGGGAGGAACACCAGUGGCGAAGGCGGCGACCUGGGCCAAUAUUGACGCUGAGGUGCGAAAGCGUGGGGAGCAAACAGG
rnacentral:rRNA from 1 species